CAUCUGCCAGGCAGAAAAACCAAAUCAAAAAUCAAUAAUCCAUAGAAUGCCAUUACAAGCAGUAAAUGAAUCUCAUUUGAAGACAAGAGUGUUAUCUGUGGGAAAGAAAGCCCAGCAGCUGUGUGGAGCAGCAGGGUAUCAGGCCCUGCCAGGUGGAUGGCAGAAGAGAGAGAGGGCCAAGAGGCACCGUAAAUUACACCUGGCCUCCCAGCACUGCUAUUGUAGGGCAAUUGACCCGCUCCAAAUGAAUUCCAUUUUCUGCAGACGUCAAGGCGAAGGUGUGUUUUAAGUAAGUGACAGCCUGACGCCCAGCUUUAUUUGAUGCUUGCCAGAUCAAAGCCUCACUGCAGGGCACGCUAAUUUGAAGUCCACCGCAGUGAUGAUCGCUGUGCAUGAUUACCCCACAAUGGCACUCCUAUUAAUCACAUCACUCUGAUUAUUCUAAUUUGAUUUGACUCAGCGAUGCCUCUUCUCAAUUUUUUCCUCCGUCUCUUUUUCUCAUCCUCCCUCUCAUCAUCGUCAUCACAACGUCUCCCAAUAAAACUGUCAAGCGGGGCAACUGCUCUCCACAGUAAGUGGAUGACAUUUAAAAGGCUACAACAUGACUGACAGUGUACUCACAGAGGGAGGGAGUGAGAGUGCAGAAGGCGGAAGAAGACGAGGAGAGCUGGAGACAGGGAAGAUGAGGAAAAGAGGGGAUGCCCAAGUUAAUACUUACAAAUGACUAAUGUCUCCCUCAGCAGGUGCCAGGGCCAGACAAACUGGAUAAAUAUUGAGAUCCGUCUGAGUGCAGCAGCACAUGAAAUGAAACCCAACUGCUUCUCAUACAGCUCUAAAAGUGACAUGGCUCUGCUGGGUACCUCAGCUCUGUCUAUCUAGAUAACUCUGCAUGAUUAAUUGCUCUGAAAGUUUAGGAAAUACCCAGACAUUCAAAUACACACAGCUCUGUCCACUGUGUGCUCAUUGUUUGAAUGUACAAUGUCUGUGCUGCCAGUAUUU